rnacentral:tRNA from 1 species
GCAUUGGUGUUUCAGUGGUAGGAUUCUCGCCUUCCAUGCAGGAGACCUGAGACUGAGUCUCAGCCAGUGCU